UGCUGAAGAAACAGGACUUGUACCGAACUCCACUAUUUCAAUUCCAUACCACCAAUGGGGCACUGGAAUAAACUCCAAAGAGAAGAUUUGAAAAGGCAUAAAUCUUCCUUUCAAGAGGCUGAUAGUCUAGAACAAACAACAAACAGAUAAAAAGUCAACCAAACCCACAGAUGAAAGUAGUUCUCAGUUCUCAUUAAGGACACUUCUCUUUGCAACACUUGGGAAACCGUUUACAUAAAACCACAACUGAUCCAAGUGUGGAGUUGCUGAGCACAGUCCUAACUGAUCCAUCUACAACAAGACUCCUGUUCCUAAGACUCAGAGGCCAUUUUGGAAGAGGGAGCUGAAAGACUAAGGGUCCAAGGAAGAGGAGCUUGCUGCAAGAUUGUGUCUCCUGGACAUUCCAGAGCUACUCCUAUGAAGUCUCACCAACAUGGCUGGCUAAACAUGACUGGAAUAAAGAUGACAUCAAUAGAAUGCUAAUGUGGAAGGGGAAAUCUCACGAAAACUUCAA